GACAGAGGGUGCAAACGUUGCUCGGAAUCAUUGGGCGUAAAGAGCGUGUAGGCGGUCCGGUAAGUCCGCUGUGAAAGUCGGGGGCUCAACCCUCGAAUGCCGGUGGAUACUGUCGGGCUAGAGUGCGGAAGAGGCGAGUGGAAUUCCUGGUGUAGCGGUGAAAUGCGCAGAUAUCAGGAGGAACACCUAUUGCGAAGGCAGCUCGCUGGGACGUAACUGACGCUGAGACGCGAAAGCGUGGGGAGCAAACAGG
rnacentral:rRNA from 1 species